rnacentral:rRNA from 1 species
AUUGAACGCUGGCGGCAGGCUUAACACAUGCAAGUCGAGCGGAGAUGAGGUGCUUGCACCUUAUCUUAGCGGCGGACGGGUGAGUAAUGAUUAGGAAUCUGCCUAUUAGUGGGGGACAACAUUCCGAAAGGAAUGCUAAUACCGCAUACGUCCUACGGGAGAAAACAGGGGAUCUUCGGACCUUGCGCUAAUAGAUGAGCCUAAGUCGGAUGAGCUAGUUGGUGGGGUAAAGGCCUACCAAGGCGACGAUCUGUAGCGGGUCUGAGAGGAUGAUCCGCCACACUGGGACUGAGACACGGCCCAGACUCCUACGGGAGGCAGCAGUGGGGAAUAUUGGACAAUGGGGGGAACCCUGAUCCAGCCAUGCCGCGUGUGUGAAGAAGGCCUUAUGGUUGUAAAGCACUUUAAGCGAGGAGGAGGCUACUGAGACUAAUACUCUUGGAUAGUGGACGUUACUCGCAGAAUAAGCACCGGCUAACUCUGUGCCAGCCGCCGCCGUAA